rnacentral:lncRNA from 1 species
ACGUUAGCAUUUUCUUUAUUAUACUUAGCGACACAUUUAUAUAUUUAUGCAUUCUUCUCUUUUUUAACAUUAAUUGUCUCCAUAAUUGAAAUAAUUAGGUCUUGGUUCAAAAUCUUUAAUAGUUCUCUUAUUUUUCUUUGCAUCAUUCUCAUUGUCUCCAUAAGUUAAAUAGUUAGGUCUUGGUUCAAAAUCUUUAUUGGUUCCCUUGUUUUCCUUUGCAUCAUUCUCAUUGUCUGCAUAAUUGAAAAAGUUAGGUCUUGGUUCAAAAUCUUUAAUGGUUCCCUUGUUUUCCUUUGCAACAUUCUCAUUGUCUGCAUAAUUGAAAAAGUUAGGUCUUAGUUCAAAAUCUUUAAUGGUACCCUUGUUUUCCUUUGCAACAUUCUCAUUGUCUGCAUAAUUGAAAAAGUUAGGUCUUGGUUCAAAAUCUUUAAUGGUUCCCUUGUUUUUCUUUGCAUCAUUCUCAUUGUCUCCAUUGUAGAAAAGCAUGUUAGGUCUUGGUUCAAAAUCUUUAAUGGCCCCCUUGUUUGUCUUGAGAUUCUCUUCGGUGUUGAAGCUAAGGAGUUCUUGAAUAUCUUCUUUCAAUUUUUCCCU